rnacentral:lncRNA from 10 species
UCUGUAAACAAUGAGUGAGUUUACCAUUCCAUCAUUCCAUCAGUAAUCAGCAGCAAUGCCCUUCUUUGGCAAGAGCUCUUUCCUCCCUACACCUUCCCUUGCUAUAAUACUAGACUAGGACUCAACAAACUUUUUCUGUAAUGUCCCAGAUGGCAAAUAUUUUAGGCUUUGCAGGCCAUAUGUUUUUUGCCACAGCUGCGUAAGUGCAUCUUAAGGGUCAGUAUGUUAUGCAUUGUAAACUACGUUACAAAGCCACAACUAAAAAUACGCCUGGCUGGCUGUGCAUACUGAGGACUAAGAGUUGGUGGCUCAACCCUGUCACUCUGUCAAGCAUGCAGAAUAGAUUCUCAUGGAGAAAAUAUUGACUUAUCUUUGUUGAACUGAGAGAGCAGAGCAGCAUCCUUGAAGAGCUCUAAGUACAAGUGGAGGAUCCACCUCCACUGAGUUAUUCCCCUUAUGUUAAAGUGGACCCCCUUGUCAUCGUGACAUCAGGGUAAGUGAGGCGGAACAUUGCAGGGAAAGAGCAUGGGCCUGGGGCAGACAGAUGGGAAUCUGGGUCACUCAUAGUCUUCUCAUUCUUUAAGCAGGGUGCAUGCCUGUCUCACAAAAUCAUUGUGAGGGGUGUGUCUUGCUCAUGGUGGCAGCAAAUGAGUCUGAAAGGAGCGUGGCUGAGGGAGGCCAAGAGGAUGCUGAUAAGAAAAGGAACUAGGGACUUUACUGUGCACUGCCAGGCAUUGUUCUAGCUCUUUUCUCCUGAUUCCAUUCUCACCAUAAGCCUGUAAGAAAUAAAUUCCACUACUGUCCCCCUCGCACAGAUGGUAAAUGGAGCAGAGAGAAGGCAGGGCGCUGGGCCAGGCUUGCUUGGCUGGAAGGCUGUAGAGCUGGGAUUGGGAGCACAGCGUGUCUGGCUGGAGAGUCCCCACUCUUCUCUGCGACAUGGUUUAUCACAGUGGCUGUGCUGAUAUUUUAAGCCUGGCUGUUGUUAAUUUUUAUUGGGGACUGGUCCUGAAACGCCUCACCACUGAGGCUACUCAGUCAGCCCCAUUCUGCUGUCCUGUAGUUAGUUGAUCCUGCCCAACCUAUGGCAGAAUAGACAAAAGGUGUCCUAGGGAAAGGUCCCCAAAA